rnacentral:rRNA from 1 species
UACGAAGGGUGCAAACGUUGGCUCGGAAUUAUUGGGCGUAAAGCGCGUGUAGGUGGUUUGUAAGUGGGUGAUUAAAUACCGAGGCUUAACCUCGGGAAUGAUUGUCUAUACUGCAAUGACUUGAGGAAGAUAGGGGCAAGCGGAACUUUGGGUGUAGGGUGAAAUCCGUAGAUAUCCAAAGGAACACCAAUGGCGAAGGCAGCUUGCUGGGUCUUAGUCUGACACUGAGACGCGAAAGCGUGGGGAGCAAACGGGG